rnacentral:rRNA from 1 species
AUUGAACGCUGGCGGCAUGCUUUACACAUGCAAGUCGAGCGGCAGCGCGGGGGCAACCCUGGCGGCGAGCGGCGAACGGGUGAGUAAUGCAUCGGAACGUAUCCUCGAGUGGGGGAUAACCCAGCGAAAGUUGGGCUAAUACCGCAUGAGCUCUGAGGAGGAAAGCGGGGGACCUGCGAGGGCCUCGCGCUGGAGGAGCGGCCGAUGUCCGAUUAGCUAGUUGGUGGGGUAAAGGCUUACCAAGGCGUCGAUCGGUAGCUGGUCUGAGAGGAUGAUCAGCCACACUGGGACUGAGACACGGCCCAGACUCCUACGGGAGGCAGCAGUGGGGAAUUUUGGACAAUGGGGGCAACCCUGAUCCAGCCAUGCCGCGUGAGUGAAGAAGGCCUUCGGGUUGUAAAGCUCUUUCGGACGGAACGAAAUGGGCGGGACUAAUACUCCUGUCUGAUGACGGUACCGUAAGAAGAAGCACCGGCUAACUACGUG